AUUGAACGCUGGCGGCAGGCCUAACACAUGCAAGUCGAGCGGAGCGGCGGACGGGUGAGUAAUGCCUAGGAAUCUGCCUGGUAGCGGGAGAUAACGUCCGGUAACGGGCGCUAAUACCGCAUACUAUCAGAUGAGCCUAGGUCGGAUUCGCUAGUUGGAGGGGUAAAGGCCUACCAAGGCGACGAUCCGUAACUGGUCUGAGAGGAUGAUCAGUCACACUGGAACUGAGAAACGGCCCAGACUCCUACGGGAGGCAGCAGUGGGGAAUAUUGGACAAGGGGCGAAAGCCUGAUGCAGCCAUGCCGCGUGUAUGAAGAAGGCCUUCGGGUUGUAAAGUACUUUCAGCAGGGAGGCGGUACCCGCAGAAGAAGCACCGGCUAACUCCGUGCCAGCAGCCGCGGUAAUAC
rnacentral:rRNA from 1 species